rnacentral:rRNA from 1 species
CAGGACGAACGCUGGCGGCGUGCUUAACACAUGCAAGUCGAACGAUGAUGGCCGUGCUUGCACGGCUGGAUUAGUGGCGAACGGGUGAGUAACACGUGAGUAACCUGCCCUCCACUUCGGGAUAACCUCGGGAAAUCGGGGCUAAUACCGGAUAGGAGCACCUACUGCAUGGUGGGUGUUGGAAAGUUUUUCGGUGGGGGAUGGACUCGCGGCCUAUCAGCUUGUUGGUGAGGUAGUGGCUCACCAAGGCGUUGACGGGUAGCCGGCCUGAGAGGGCGACCGGCCACACUGGGACUGAGACACGGCCCAGACUCCUACGGGAGGCAGCAGUGGGGAAUAUUGCACAAUGGGCGAAAGCCUGAUGCAGCGACGCCGCGUGAGGGAUGACGGCCUUCGGGUUGUAAACCUCUUUCAGCAGGGAAGAAGCGAGAGUGACGGUACCUGCAGAAGAAGCGCCGGCUAACUACGUGCCAGCAGCCGCGGUAAUACGUAGGGCGCAAGCGUUGUCCGGAAUUAUUGGGCGUAAAGAGCUUGUAGGUGGCUUGUCGCGUCUGCCGUGAAAACCCGAGGCUCAACCUCGGGCGUGCGGUGGGUACGGGCAGGCUAGAGUGUGGUAGGGGAGACUGGAACUCCUGGUGUAGCGGUGAAAUGCGCAGAUAUCAGGAAGAACACCGAUGGCGAAGGCAGGUCUCUGGGCCAUUACUGACACUGAGAAGCGAAAGCAUGGGGAGCGAACAGGAUUAGAUACCCUGGUAGUCCAUGCCGUAAACGUUGGGCA